CCCCAGUAAACGGCGGCCGUAACUAUAACGGUCCUAAGGUAGCGAAAUUCCUUGUCGGGUAAGUUCCGACCUGCACGAAUGGCGUAAUGAUGGCCAGGCUGUCUCCACCCGAGACUCAGUGAAAUUGAACUCGCUGUGAAGAUGCAGUGUACCCGCGGCAAGACGGAAAGACCCCGUGAACCUUUACUAUAGCUUGACACUGAACAUUGAGCCUUGAUGUGUAGGAUAGGUGGGAGGCUUUGAAGUGUGGACGCCAGUCUGCAUGGAGCCAACCUUGAAAUACCACCCUUUAACGUUUGAUGUUCUAACCUAGGCCCAUAAACUGGGUCGGGGACCGUGUCUGGUGGGUAGUUUGACUGGGGCGGUCUCCUCCUAAAGAGUAACGGAGGAGCACGAAGGUUGGCUAAGCAUGGUCGGACAUCAUGCGGUUAGUGCAAAGGCAUAAGCCAGCUUGACUGCGAGAGUGACGGCUCGAGCAGGUACGAAAGUAGGUCUUAGUGAUCCGGUGGUUCUGAAUGGAAGGGCCAUCGCUCAACGGAUAAAAGGUACUCCGGGGAUAACAGGCUGAUACCGCCCAAGAGUUCAUAUCGACGGCGGUGUUUGGCACCUCGAUGUCGGCUCAUCACAUCCUGGGGCUGAAGUAGGUCCCAAGGGUAUGGCUGUUCGCCAUUUAAAGUGGUACGCGAGCUGGGUUUAGAACGUCGUGAGACAGUUCGGUCCCUAUCUGCCGUGGGCGUUGGAAGAUUGAGAGGGGUUGCUCCUAGUACGAGAGGACCGGAGUGAACGCACCACUGGUGUUCGGGUUGUCAUGCCAAUGGCAUUGCCCGGUAGCUAAGUGCGGAAGAGAUAACCGCUGAAAGCAUCUAAGCGGGAAACUUGCCUCGAGAUGAGUCUUCCCUGUCGCUUUAAGCGACCUAAAGGAACGUUUAAGACUAAGACGUUGAUAGGCUGGGUGUGUAAGCGUAGCGAUACGUUGAGCUAACCAGUACUAAUGAACCGUGAGGCUUAACCUG
rnacentral:rRNA from 1 species